rnacentral:rRNA from 1 species
UACGAAGGGGGCGAGCGUUGUUCGGAAUUACUGGGCGUAAAGGGCGCGCAGGCGGCCCUUUAAGUCAGGCGUGAAAGCCCCGGGCUCAACCUGGGAGGUGCGCUUGAUACUCGAGGGCUUGAGUGCGGGAGAGGAGAGUGGAAUUCCGAGUGUAGCAGUGAAAUGUGUAGAUAUUCGGAAGAACACCAGAGGCGAAGGCAGCGGGUUGGCGCUUUAUUGACGCUCAGGCACGAAAGCAUGGGGAUCAAACAGG